UUUUUUAAUUGGGGUAGCCCCCAAAAUAUUGGGAUAUAUAAAAAAAAGACAACUCUGUUCCGUAGAGUAGCUGUUGACAUUAUAGUUGCGCAGGAACUUUGUUGACUCUUGAGAACCUCAUCCAGUUUCUGCGCCUACCAUGGUGACCACGGGUAAUGGGGAAUCAGGGUUCCAUUCCGUACAGGGACCCUGAGAAACGGCUACCACAUGCAAGGAAGACAGCAGACGCGCAAAUGACCCACUCCCAACACGGGAAGGUAGUGACGACAAAUAACAAUACAGGACUCUUUAGAGGCCCUGUAAUUGUAAUGAGUCCACUUGAAAUCCUUUAACUCUGAUCAAUUGGAGGGAAGUCUGGUGCAGAGCCACUGACCCAUGCGUGCUGCAGCUGAAA